AGUGGCAGACGGGUGAGUAACAUGUGGGUAUCUACCCUUUGGCCUGGAAUAACACGAGGAAACUUGUGCUAAUACCGGAUAAGUCUUUACAGAGAAAGCUUUAUGCACCAUUGGAUGAGCCUGCACUUGAUUAGUUUGUUGGUGGGGUAAUGGCCUACCAAGACUGUGAUCAAUAGCUGAUUUGAGAGGAUGAUCAGCCACAUUGGGACUGAGACACGGCCCAAACUCCUACGGGAGGCAGCAGUGGGGAAUCUUGCACAAUGGAGGAAACUCUGAUGCAGCGAUGCCGCGUGAGUGAAGAAGGCCCUUGGGUUGUAAAGCUCUUUCGUCGGGGAAGAAAAUGACUGUACCCGAAUAAGAAGGUCCGGCUAACUUCGUGCCAGCAGCCGCGGUAAUACGAAGGGACCUAGCGUAGUUCGGAAUUACUGGGCUUAAAGAGUACGUAGGUGGUUGAAAAAGUUAGUGGUGAAAUCCCAGAGCUUAACUCUGGAACUGCCAUUAAAACUUUUCAGCUAGAGUAUGAUAGAGGAAAGCAGAAUUUCUAGUGUAGAGGCGAAAUUCGUAGAUAUUAGAAAGAAUACCAAUUGCGAAGGCAGCUUUCUGGAUCAUUACUGACACUG
rnacentral:rRNA from 1 species